rnacentral:misc_RNA from 1 species
AAGUCGUAACAAGGUAACCGUAGGUGAACCUGCGGUUGGAUCAUUAACAAUUUUAGCAGGAGCUUGUCUUUGGAUGAGAUCCUGUGAAAAAUCAAUCACCUUUUGUGCACUGUCUGUCUCUGGCGGCCGGGGCAAAGUCAACCUUAAUCGAGGUUGCAUAGCUUAUGCUCUGUCAGCUUGGUACACUUGUGGACCAGGCCGUGGACAAACCGCCAACCACUUUGUUUAACUCCCUGUUUUAAUCUCCUGUCUAACAAUUUUCUUUGUAUUAACAUACAAUAAAACUUUUGGCAACGGAUCUCUUGGCUCUC